CCUACGGGAGGCAGCAGUAGGGAAUAUUGCUCAAUGGGGGAAACCCUGAAGCAGCAACGCCGCGUGGAGGAUGAAGGUUUUCGGAUUGUAAACUCCUUUUGUUAGAGAAGAUAAUGACGGUAUCUAACGAAUAAGCACCGGCCAACUCCGUGCCAGGAGCCGCGGUAAUACGGAGGGCGCAAGCGUUACUCGGAAUCCCUGGGCGUAAAGAGCGCCUAGGCGGGGUAGCAAGUCAGAUUUGAAAUCCUAUGGCUUAACCAUAGAACUGCAUUUGAAACUGUGAAUCUAGAUGAUGGGAGAGGUAGGUGGAAUUCUUUGUGUAGGGGUAAAAGCCGUAGAGAUCAAGAGGAAUACUCAUUGCGAAGGCGACCUGCUAGAACAGAACUGACGAUGAUGCGCGAAAGCGUGGGGAGCAAACAGGAUUAGAUACCCCAGUAGUCC
rnacentral:rRNA from 1 species